AUACGGAGGGUGCAGGCGUUACUCGGAAUCACUGGGCGUAAAGCGCGCGCAGGCGGCUAUUUAAGUUGGAUGUGAAAGCCUACGGCUCAACCGUAGAACUGCAUCCAAAACUAUUUAGCUAGAGUGUGGGAGAGGAAGAUGGAAUUAGUUGUGUAGGGGUAAAAUCCGUAGAGAUAACUAGGAAUACCAAAAGCGAAGGCAAUCUUCUGGAACACUACUGACGCUGAGGCGCGAAAGCGUGGGGAGCAAACAGGAUUAGAAACCCUAGUAGUCC
rnacentral:rRNA from 1 species